UGUAGACUUUUAUCCCCCAAAUUAUAGUUCUUCAUCUACAUAGAAAACAUCGAAAAGAUCUCUCCUUUUUCUUGAUAUACAUAGAAAACAUCGAAAAGAUUCAUCAACAGAAAGCAAAUUUUUGAGUGAUCAAAAUCAAGAAAUCGAGCACGUUACUUCUUGUCUGGUCAUAUUUUGAGAGAAAAUUAAGAGCUCAAGUGAGGUAGGAGGAAAGACUUUCCAUGGAAAACAACUCCAUUUCUCCCCUCGGAUUCUUCUUCAAAAAUAUGGUUCGCGACAAAAGCGAGACUGCAUGGGCACUAGGGAAGAAACUUGGCAUUGAGGUUUACUCUGGUUAUGGCUAAAACUAGAGGCGGGAUUGUUAAACGAUAUGUUCCUAAGCCUUCUAAAAACAAGAAAAGAAAGGUUGAAGAAGUUUCAAGAUCUUCAAAAAAGAAAAAAAUUAUAGUUGAAGAACCCAAGUCUAACUCGAAUUCUGAUACGAUGGCUGAAAUUGACAACUAUGAGGACAGUAGUGCCCAGGCUACUGAUGAUGUUGAGUCUAGUGAAGAAAACACUGUCAGUGGAGAUGAAGAGAGUAGUAGAGAUAACCGAGAUACUGGAGAUGAGAAUGAUGAUCCCCU